rnacentral:rRNA from 1 species
CCUACGGGAGGCAGCAGUGGGGAAUAUUGCACAAUGGGGGAAACCCUGAUGCAGCGACGCCGCGUGAGUGAAGAAGUAUCUCGGUACGUAAAGCCCUAUCAGCAGGGAAGAAAAUGACGGUACUUGACUAAGAAGCCCCGGCUAACUACGUGCCAGUAGCCGCGGUAACACGUAGGGGGCAAGCGUUAUCCGGAUUUACGGGGUGUAAAGGGAGCGGAGACGGGAGCAUAAGUCUGGAGUGAAAUUCCGGGGCUUAACCCCGGAACUGCAUUGGAAACUGUGCGGCUGGAGUGCAGGAGGGGGAAGCGGAAUUCCUAGUGUAGCAGUGAAAUGCGUAGAUAUUAGGAGGAACACCGGUGGCGAAGGCGGGUUACUGGACUGUAACUGACGUUGAGGCUCGAAGGCGUGGGGAGCGAACAGGAUUAGAUACCCCUGUAGUC